GCACGGGCUGGGAUUUGUGGCAGGCCCCUACCCUGGGUCUCUCACAGUGCCCCGUGCCAGAGCACCCUGGCCCGGAACCAUUGCCCAGCCUUCGCCCGUGGGCUGCGGGCGCUGAAGCGGGCCGCACAGUG